rnacentral:ncRNA from 13 species
ACAUUCCGGUCGGAGAAGGAGGUGUGUCAAAAAGGCUCUGGGUUCGUUCUGAGAUUAUACGGUCAAAACUUGAUCUGGAUAAUACCAGCGAAAGGAUCAUGCCUUCCCUUAUU